rnacentral:rRNA from 1 species
AGCCCAACCCCUAAAUUCAAUAAACCCAUAUUCAUAACCCCUAAAGCACGAAACACCCACGUAGCUAAACCAUUCUCCCUCCU